GAAGGUGAGCUCCUAUGGAGGAGAAUAGGGUUCCGGCGAAUCGGAUGAUAAACCACCGUCCUCUUGUUGUAGUAACGUAUCGUCUCGACGGUUUGACGGUGGUAAACCUGGAGCCGCGGCGGCAAUUGCUGUUGAUGCAGACCAAGUUUUUCCGAAAUGCUUACAAACAACACGAAGUCCAGCAGAUGACGGGCUUAAAUUUUGCUUAAUGACUCCAGGUUCGGGUGAACGCCCACCAAGACCAUGUGUAGAGUUAUAAUCCCAUGAUAGAACCUGAUGAUGGCUGGCACUAUAAAUUUGUUGGAAAUCCAAAAGUAAUUCAUGGAGUUAGAUGAGUUGAGGUACUAAUCCAUCAGGUUUCACCUACCGAGUAUUUUGAACCAUUCACUUCGCCGUCAAAGUGCGUGGGGCAGGGCACUGAGAAGACCAUCAAAGGUGUACCUCCGUUGGUGUCACGGUGUGUUCUAGAAACGUUGACAUAUUUGGCUAGGAAUCAUACGUUUGUUGCGAAACUAUUGCUUCAGUUCAGGUUACCUCCAUUGGAGUCCGAGAAUCUUGAUAAGUCAAGGGGAAAAGCUAUCAUAGUUGUCGAAGAAAAUAAAACAGAAAACCAACAAGCGGAUGAUUUCUUAGCGAUCACAAUGCUGUGAAGUCUUCUGAAUCAACCACUUUAUUUUAGGAGUAUUGCACAUCUUGAGCAGUUGUGCUGAACUUGCUAGAUGUCGUCAAUGAUAACGCUGAAAGCAAGCAAGCUCUGGUUGACCACGGUGCAUCCGAAACUGAAGAAUCAUCUGGUUCCAAAUCACCCAAAGCCGAAAGCACCUCUAAGCCCGCAUCUUCUGGUGGUAUUACAGAAUUUGACUCUCACACUAUUUUGCUAAACUUGCCCCAAGCAGAACUACGUCUUCUCUGCUCACUGCUCGCACGUGAAUGUUUUUCGGAUAAUGCGUAUGCACUUGUGGUAGAAGUAUUGAAGAAGUUGGUGACAUGCGCGCCACGUCACGAUAUAGUGCAUUAGUUGAGGACAAAGCUUUGGCUGCACUUGCAAUUGAGGACAAGAAAAGGCAAUAUAACAUUGGCGCAGCGAGCGCAUCCGCAACGCCACAGCGAGCACACCCCAGCCAGCCCGACGCAACGCCACAGAGAGCGCAAC